UUAAUUCUUAAUAUUUUAAUACUCUUUAAUAAUAAAGAUCAACAUCAAUGGCACAAGCUUCUUUUUGUACAAUUCAGCUUAUAAAAAUAUUGCAUGUGUCCUAUCAGAAUCGAAAUAAUUCCUUCGUGUCAUGAUCUACAUACAAAUAAGUAGAUGUGGUAUAAUUGCCAAUGUGACAACUAUUCUCCAGAUUUCAAACGAAGUGAAUGAAAGAAAUUACAGGCAAAACUUAGCCUACCUGCUAACGCUCAGUGUAAAAAUGCUCAGUGUGAAUUAUCAUCAAAUAUAAUAAUGCUUGCACAUGUGAAAAUGAGCAAUGCAUGACAUGAAGGAAUUAUUUCUUAAUUAAAUUGAAGGCACUUAAAAAAAAUAUAAACAUGUAAAAACCAUACUGAUUAUGGUAAUAUUUUUACGUCAUGUUUCUUGUUUUUGAUACAAUUUUCGGUUUCUGUAUCUUUUGUCCGUUAAAUGUUGUUCACGGACAUCUAAUAUCAUAUCUAUAUAUAUAUAUAUAUUAAUAAUGCAUAGAAAAUAAGGUCAAUCUGGUGAGGUCAUUGAGUACAUUUAAAUGCUGCCCAUCUUUAAAAAACUGACUACUGUUGUUAAACUCAAUAUUAGCAGCUUCAAAUUUUUAGUUUCAUUAAAAUACAUAAUCGCAACAUAACUGUUAAAAUAUGUCAACUAUUGUAUACACACAAUUGAUACACUAAAGAAUGAUUGUACAAUGCAAUUAUGUCUGUUCCAGAUUUAUUUCACCGGAAAAGGAAGCGUUUGGAUGCAUUAUCAUGAUUAUUACAAAAAUUUAAUAAGUGAAUGGUGCUUAUCUUGCACUAACAAAAUAGUGAAAAUUGGUAAAAUACUGGUCCCUUAAUUAAUGAAUGAGUAAUGUAACUAGAUACUCUCAAGAGCAUGUGUCGCUCACCUGUUUCUACUGUGGUUUUAGAAAUCAUGUAAUACAAGGUUUAAAUAGUAAUAAAUAUUAUUAGAUGCCCUAAUAAUGAUUGAAGCCAAGUUUGCUUUAAUAUGGGCCCAGUAGUUAAUUUUAUAGCAGAUCAUCUUAUUAUAGUCUAACAGUAGUAGCUGAAGACUCUUUAUCCUUAUUUAAAUUGGUUUUCAAGUUGUGACCAUUUGAAAUUUUUUUUUCUUUUUACAAUUUUCCCAUAGACUUCUAUAUGAAACCCCUAUGUUCUAUUUAUAGCCAUGGUGGCCAUGUUGUUUGGAUGACAGGGUCAUCCUAUACAUUUUUCAGUUGAGAUACCCUAUUGAAACUUGUGAUUUAGUUUAACUCUAUUUCACCAAGGAGAUUAAGUGAAAAAGAUUUUUGUAAAAGAUUACAAUUUUACAAAUUUAAGAAAAAUUGCAAAAAAAAUACUUUAAAGGGCAACAACUCUUUAUGGGAUCAAAUGACAAUUUUGUUCAUGUUGACUUAUUUGUAGAUCUAACAUUGCUUAACAAUUUUGCUGUUUAUAAUUUAUUUGUCAUUUCUGUAUCUAUUAAAAUAUUCAAGAUUAUAACCAAAAGAUGUAAAAAAAAAAAUUUAAAUUACCAUUUCAGGGGCAGCAGAUCCACAACAGUUUGUUGCUUCUGAAAAGUGAGAAGGACAAAGGAUCUUGACCUGAUGAACAUUUGUAUCCCCUUGUCAGAUAUGAUCUAAAUGCUUUAGUUUCUAAAAACUGCAUUUACCCCAUGAUCUAUUUUUAGACAUAGCAGCCAUCUUGAUUUAGGCGGGUUAUCUUUCAACAUAAUUAAAAAGAUUUCAUUUUACUAAAUUUUUCUAAACAUUUGUCACCUUUUUCAACCUUAUAUCAUGAUUUCAUAUGUGGUGCCAAUCCUCCCACAUUCAAAUUUUAGUUGAAAAGUCAAAUACAUAAUUUAUAAAAAAUAUUUUAGCAAAUAUAUUUGUGGACGAGGAGGGUUAGUACCAUUUUAAACCUUUAUGAAAACUGUCAUAUAUUUUGCCAAAUUAUACUAAAUUCUGGUUUAUUCGAUAUUCACCUAUGCUUAUGACAUUACAACUACAUCACUAGAGAUGUCAACUACAUCACUAAUGAUGUAAUAGGUUAAAAUCUUCAACUUUGCUGAAACAAUUGGACAUUAGUCAUGUUUUUUCAUUAAAUUUUCCAAACAUCAUCGCUUUUAAAAUUUUCAAGUUUAUAGGGCCGAAACUAUGUGUAAGUGAACUAACUCCUUUGUCGAUACAACAUCAAAUGCUUAAUGUGUAAUAAAUUCAAAGGCAUAAACCAAACUUCCUAAAAAUAACAGAAAAGUUCAGCAAUGAUAUGAAACUUUCUAAAAUUUCUGAUAUUUAUUACCGUAGUUAAAAGCUACAAAUAAUGAAGAAAAAAAUGAUAGUUACAUAUUGAUUAUAAGAGAC
rnacentral:lncRNA from 1 species